UAGGGAAUCUUCCUCAAUGGACGCAAGUCUGACGGAGCAACGCCGCGUGAGUGAAGAAGGAUUUCGGUUCGUAAAACUCUGUUGUUAGAGAAGAACAGCGCAUAGAGUAACUGUUAUGCGUGUGACGGUAUCUAACCAGAAAGCCACGGCUAACUACGUGACAGCAGCCGCGGUAAUACGUAGGUGGCAAGCGUUGUCCGGAUUUAUUGGGCGUAAAGCGAGCGCAGGCGGUCAAUUAAGUCUGAUGUGAAAGCCCCCGGCACAACCGGGGAGGGUCAUUGGAAACUGGUUUAAUUGAGUGCAGAAGAGGAGGGUGGAAUUCCGUGUGUAGCGAUGAAAUGCGUAGAUAUAUGGAGGACCACCAGUGGCGAAGGCGACUCGCUGGUCUGUAACUGACGCGGAGGUUCGAAAGCGUGGGUAGCAAACAGG
rnacentral:rRNA from 1 species